AUGGACAUGAAUGUGUUCACCAAGAACCUGGACCAGGGGAUUGAACAGCUGAAUGAGUGCAAGCAGCUAACCGAGUCCCAGGUCAAGAGUCCCUGUGAGAAGACUAAAGAAAUCCUUACAAAAGAAUCCCAUUUAUAAGAGGUUCCAUGUACAGUCAUUUCUGUGGAGAUGUGCAUGAGCAAUUUCAGUCUCAUGGAACUGUUUAGAGUUGGUGGAAAAAUCACCAGAUACAAAUUACUUGUUUAUGUUGACAAAGGGUAUUAUUUACUUGAAACAGUCACACUGCUUGUAGUUCUGAAGGUACAUUACCAUGAAUGGUUCACCAUUCUUUGAGGAAAUCAUAAGAGCACACAAAUGUAUGAUUUCUAUGAUGAGUGUUUAGGGAAAUAUGGAAAUGCAAAUGUUUGGAAAUACUUUACAGAUCUUUUUGGCUCUUCAUCUUACUGCCUUGGUGGAUGGGCAUUCCAUAUGUCUACAUGGUGUUCUCUCACCAUUGAUAGAAACACUGGAUCACAUCAGAGCACUUGAUCUCCAGGAAGUUCCCCUUCAGGGUCUGUGACUUGCUGUGGUCAGAUCCAGAUGAUGGUAGUGGUUGGGGUAUAUUUCCCUGAGGAGCUGGUUUCACCUUUGGGCAGGAUAUUUCUGAGACAUUUAAUCAUGCCAAUAAAUGGUCUGACAUUGGUGUGGCAUAAGUUGGUGAUGGAGAGAUAAAACUGGUGCCAUGACCAGAAUGUAGUAACAAAUUUCAGUGCUACUAACUAUUGUUAUCUUUGUGGUAACCAAUUUGCAAUCAUGAAACUUAAUGGCACUCUAAAAUAUUCUUUCUUCAAAUUUGACCCAGCACUUUCUAGAGGUGAGCUACAUAUGAUAUGUCAUACCCCAGAUUACUUCCAUGGUAUCUCAAGUUUCAGAGUGCACAUCUAUGUUUAG